AAUAUGAAUGUCCAAUACGCUCAAUAAACUGGCUGGUGAGGUGACUUCCUACACUCAAAGUCCUGCAAUAUGGCUAAUUUCACAGUGGUGUCAAAGUCCUGCAAUAAGAGUUACGAUGCCAAUAUUUGUGUAAUUUCUUCACAGUUAUGUUCUGGGCUGAUAUCCCAUUUCCUGUAACAAAGAUCCAUAGGUAAAGCUGUACGUUGCAAUAUUAAUGUUCAACAUGCACAUGACACACAAUAGGCUGAAUGGUGAUGUGAUUUCCCACAGUAAAAGUCCUGCAAUAAGAGCUACGACACUAAUAUUUGUGUAUAAUCUUCAGUUGUGAACAUUUCAUGGGCCCAAGAUCCAUAGGCAACGCUGUACAAUGCAUACAGGACAGUGGUGGUCUGUGCCGUUUAAGAUGAGGGGGGACACAUUUUGAUUCUGAGUAUGGCCAUAUUUCUAUUACAGCAGUACAUUGGAUGACUGUCAUUCAUAUUCCAUUCACCCAGCUCAAUGUAACAUCGAUAGGUUUAGGCUACUGUCAUUCAUAUUCCAUUCACCCAGCUCAAUGUAACAUCGAUAGGUUUAGGCUACUGUCAUUCAUAUUCCAUUCACCCAGCUCAAUGUAACAUCGAUAGGUUUAGGCUACUGUCAUUCAUAUUCCAUUCACCCAGCUCAAUGUAACAUCGAUAGGUUUAGGCUACUGUCAUUCAUAUUCCAUUCACCCAGCUCAAUGUAACAUCGAUAGGUUUAGGCUACUGUCAUUCAUAUUCCAUUCACCCAGCUCAAUGUAACAUCGAUAGGUUUAGGCUACUGUCAUUCAUAUUCCAUUCACCCAGCUCAAUGUAACAUCGAUAGGUUUAGGCUACUGUCAUUCAUAUUCCAUUCACCCAGCUCAAUGUAACAUCGAUAGGUUUAGGCUACUGUCAUUCAUAUUCCAUUCACCCAGCUCAAUGUAACAUCGAUAGGUUUAGGCUACUGUCAUUCAUAUUCCAUUCACCCAGCUCAAUGUAACAUCGAUAGGUUUAGGCUACUGUCAUUCAUAUUCCAUUCACCCAGCUCAAUGUAACAUCGAUAGGUUUAGGCUACUGUCAUUCAUAUUCCAUUCACCCAGCUCAAUGUAACAUCGAUAGGUUUAGGCUACUGUCAUUCAUAUUCCAUUCACCCAGCUCAAUGUAACAUCGAUAGGUUUAGGCUACUGUCAUUCAUAUUCCAUUCACCCAGCUCAAUGUAACAUCGAUAGGUUUAGGCUACUGUCAUUCAUAUUCCAUUCACCCAGCUCAAUGUAACAUCGAUAGGUUUAGGCUACUGUCAUUCAUAUUCCAUUCACCCAGCUCAAUGUAACAUCGAUAGGUUUAGGCUACUGUCAUUCAUAUUCCAUUCACCCAGCUCAAUGUAACAUCGAUAGGUUUAGGCUACUGUCAUUCAUAUUCCAUUCACCCAGCUCAAUGUAACAUCGAUAGGUUUAGGCUACUGUCAUUCAUAUUCCAUUCACCCAGCUCAAUGUAACAUCGAUAGGUUUAGGCUACUGUCAUUCAUAUUCCAUUCACCCAGCUCAAUGUAACAUCGAUAGGUUUAGGCUACUGUCAUUCAUAUUCCAUUCACCCAGCUCAAUGUAACAUCGAUAGGUUUAGGCUACUGUCAUUCAUAUUCCAUUCACCCAGCUCAAUGUAACAUCGAUAGGUUUAGGCUACUGUCAUUCAUAUUCCAUUCACCCAGCUCAAUGUAACAUCGAUAGGUUUAGGCUACUGUCAUUCAUAUUCCAUUCACCCAGCUCAAUGUAACAUCGAUAGGUUUAGGCUACUGUCAUUCAUAUUCCAUUCACCCAGCUCAAUGUAACAUCGAUAGGUUUAGGCUACUGUCAUUCAUAUUCCAUUCACCCAGCUCAAUGUAACAUCGAUAGGUUUAGGCUACUGUCAUUCAUAUUCCAUUCACCCAGCUCAAUGUAACAUCGAUAGGUUUAGGCUACUGUCAUUCAUAUUCCAUUCACCCAGCUCAAUGUAACAUCGAUAGGUUUAGGCUACUGUCAUUCAUAUUCCAUUCACCCAGCUCAAUGUAACAUCGAUAGGUUUAGGCUACUGUCAUUCAUAUUCCAUUCACCCAGCUCAAUGUAACAUCGAUAGGUUUAGGCUACUGUCAUUCAUAUUCCAUUCACCCAGCUCAAUGUAACAUCGAUAGGUUUAGGCUACUGUCAUUCAUAUUCCAUUCACCCAGCUCAAUGUAACAUCGAUAGGUUUAGGCUACUGUCAUUCAUAUUCCAUUCACCCAGCUCAAUGUAACAU